GACCGGGGGGGGGGGGGGCAAGUGUUCUUCGGAAUGACUGGGCGUAAAGGGCACGUAGGCGGUGAAUCGGGUUGAAAGUGAAAGUCGCCAAAAAGUGGCGGAAUGCUCUCGGAACCAAUUCACUUGAGUGAGACAGAGGAGAGUGGAAUUUCGUGUGUAGGGGUGAAAUCCAUAGAUCUACGAAGGAACGCCAAAAGCGAAGGAAGCUCUCUGGGUCCCUACCGACGCUGGGGUGCGAAAGCAUGGGGGAGCAAACAGG
rnacentral:rRNA from 1 species